rnacentral:lncRNA from 1 species
GAUAAUGAUGAGCAGGCUGGCCCAGCUGAUGAUAAUGGAGUUCAGAACAUCAAAAAGAAAAUUAAAAGCAGAAUCAUUCCUGAUGGGGUGAAACCGGACUCUUUCUCAUCUGAUGCUGAAUCCUCCAACAAAGACCCUUCCGUAAGUGAGAUGUUAUGGUUAAAGUUGGCCCAACAUCACGUGAAGAAAACCUGUAACUCGUGGAUUUCUGCCUCUCAGGUGUACUGCAUGCCACUGCCGACCGUCCAAGGAGAAGAUCCAGACAAUGAGAUGGACGAUUAUAAUAUUGUGUAUGAAGUUGGUGAGGAGGCAGAUUCUUCCUCGACGGAUGUGGAAGAAGAUCUCAUGGCAAAUCAUUUCUAUCAAGAACAAAUAGAUGAUGCUGAAGAUCCAGGCCAUGAAAGGGCACAAGCGCUUGACCCCGACUUCAACCAGGAGAAGAAGAUUUACUCCGGCUCAACGGUCACAGCGGGCGCUCUCCUGCUGCUCCUCCUCACAUUUAUAUUAAAGCACAGACUGUCAAACGCAGCAGCCAAAGACCUCUUGGACCUCUUAAACCUCGUUGUUCCCGGAUGCGUUCCCAAGUCCCUCCAAUUUUUAAAGAACCACCCCACCCAGCAUAGCGGCGAGGCAGAGAUCCACUUAUAUUGUCCCAAAUGUGCGGGCUACAUCGGCGUGGAGCCUGGAAAUCGGUGUAAGGUGUGUCAGCAGAGACUGAGUAAAAAAUGCCUGCUGGAGAAAGCUCACUACUUCUUGGUGAUGCCCCUUGAAAUCCAGAAAUCCUCACACAAGUCCACUCAAAGUUAGGGAAGCAUUUCGUCAGGGACGGCUGUCUUUCAGACGUCGUCACCGGAAAGGAAUAUAAGGGUGACAGACAGGCGGGC